rnacentral:rRNA from 1 species
UACGUAGGGGGCGAGCGUUGUCCGGAGUUACUGGGCGUAAAGCGCACGCAGGCGGUCUGCUAAGUUUGGAGUGACAGUUGGUGGCUUAACUGCCAAAGUGCUUCGAAAACUGACAGACUUGAGGGCUUCAGAGGGACACGGAAUUCCGGGUGGAGUGGUGAAAUGCGUAGAUAUCAAGAGGAAUACCGGUGGUGUAGACGGCUCUCUGGACCGCCACUGACGCUGAGACACGAAAGCGUGGGUAGCAAACAGG